GAUGAACGCUGGCGGCGUGCUUAACACAUGCAAGUCGAACGAAGCACUUUAUUUGAUUUCCUUCGGGACUGAUUAUUUUGUGACUGAGUGGCGGACGGGUGAGUAACGCGUGGGUAACCUGCCUUGUACAGGGGGAUAACAUUUGGAAACGGCUGCUAAUACCGCAUAAGCGCACGGCAUCGCAUGAUGCAGUGUGAAAAACUCCGGUGGUAUAAGAUGGACCCGCGUUGGAUUAGCUAGUUGGUGAGGAAACGGCCAACCAAGGGGACGAUCCAUAGCCGACCUGAGAGGGUGACCCGCCACAUUGGGACUGAGACACGGCACAAACUCCUACGGGAAGCAGCAGUGGGGAAUAUUGCACAAUGGGCGAAAGCCUGAUGCAGCGACGCCGCGUGAGCGAAGAAGUAUUUCGGUAUGUAAAGCUCUAUCAGCAGGGAAGAUAAUGACGGUACCUGACUAAGAAGCACCGGCUAAAUACGUG
rnacentral:rRNA from 1 species